GUAAGGAAUAUUGGACAAUGGACGCAAGUCUGAUCCAGCCAUGCCGCGUGAAGGAUUAAGUUCCUCUGGAUUGUAAACUUCUUUUAUAAGGGACGAAAAAAGGCUUUUCUAAGUCGUCUGACGGUACCUUAUGAAUAAGCACCGGCUAACUCCGUGCCAGCAGCCGCGGUAAUACGGAGGGUGCAAGCGUUAUCCGGAUUCACUGGGUUUAAGGGGUUCGUAGGCGGGCAGGUAAGUCAGUGGUGAAAUCAUAGAGCUUAACUCUAGAACUGCCAUUGCUACUAUCUGGCUUGAAUAUUGUGGAGGUAAGCGGAAUAUGUCAUGUAGCGGUGAAAUGCUUAGAUAUGACAUAGAACACCUAUUGCGAAGGCAGCUUACUACGCAUAUAUUGACGCUGCGGCACGGAAGCGUGGGGAUCAAACAGGAUUAGAAACCCUUGUAGUCC
rnacentral:rRNA from 1 species